UAGGGAAUCUUCGGCAAUGGACGAAAGUCUGACCGAGCAACGCCGCGUGAGUGAAGAAGGUUUUCGGAUCGUAAAACUCUGUUGUUAGAGAAGAACAAGGACGUUAGUAACUGAACGUCCCCUGACGGUAUCUAACCAGAAAGCCACGGCUAACUACGUGCCAGCAGCCGCGGUAAUACGUAGGUGGCAAGCGUUGUCCGGAUUUAUUGGGCGUAAAGCGAGCGCAGGCGGUUUCUUAAGUCUGAUGUGAAAGCCCCCGGCUCAACCGGGGAGGGUCAUUGGAAACUGGGAGACUUGAGUGCAGAAGAGGAGGGUGGAAUUCCAUGUGUAGCGGUGAAAUGCGUAGAUAUAUGGGGGAACACCAGUGGCGAAGGCGGCUCACUGGUCUGUAACUGACGCUGAGGCUCGAAAGCGUGGGGAGCAAACAGG
rnacentral:rRNA from 1 species